rnacentral:rRNA from 1 species
ACUCCUCGGGAGGCAGCAGUGGGGAAUUUUGGACAAUGGGCGAAAGCCUGAUCCAGCAAUGCCGCGUGUGUGAAGAAGGCCUUCGGGUUGUAAAGCACUUUUGUCCGGAAAGAAAUGGCUCUGGUUAAUACCUGGGGUCGAUGACGGUACCGGAAGAAUAAGGACCGGCUAACUACGUGCCAGCAGCCGCGGUAAUACGUAGGGUCCAAGCGUUAAUCGGAAUUACUGGGCGUAAAGCGUGCGCAGGCGGUUGUGCAAGACCGAUGUGAAAUCCCCGAGCUUAACUUGGGAAUUGCAUUGGUGACUGCACGGCUAGAGUGUGUCAGAGGGGGGUAGAAUUCCACGUGUAGCAGUGAAAUGCGUAGAGAUGUGGAGGAAUACCGAUGGCGAAGGCAGCCCCCUGGGAUAACACUGACGCUCAUGCACGAAAGCGUGGGGAGCAAACAGGGUUAGAUACCCUGGUAGUCCACGCCCUAAACGAUGUCAACUAGUUGUUGGGGAUUCAUUUCCUUAGUAACGUAGCUAACGCGUGAAGUUGACCGCCUGGGGAGUACGGUCGCAAGAUUAAAACUCAAAGGAAUUGACGGGGACCCGCACAAGCGGUGGAUGACGUGGAUUAAUUCGAUGCAACGCGAAAAACCUUACCUACCCUUGACAUGCCACUAACGAAGCAGAGAUGCAUUNGUGCUCGAAAGAGAAAGUGGACACAGGUGCUGCAUGGCUGUCGUCAGCUCGUGUCGUGAGAUGUUGGGUUAAGUCCCGCAACGAGCGCAACCCU